GACGAACGCUGGCGGCGUGCCUAACACAUGCAAGUCGAACGGAACUUACCGAAUGAAGUCUUCGGAUGGAUUUUGAUAAGUUUAGUGGCGGACGGGUGAGUAACGCGUGAGUAACCUGCCUUCAAGAGGGGAAUAACGUUCUGAAAGAACGCUAAUACCGCAUAACAUACGGAUGUCGCAUGGCAACCGUAUCAAAGAUUUAUCGCUUGAAGAUGGACUCGCGUCCGAUUAGCCAGUUGGCGGGGUAACGGCCCGACCCAAAGACGACGAUCGGUAGCCGGACUGAGAGGUUGAACGGCCACCAUUGGGACUGAGGACACGGCCCAGACUCCUACGGGAGGCAGCAGUGGGGGAGUAUUG
rnacentral:rRNA from 1 species